rnacentral:rRNA from 1 species
CCUACGGGUGGCAGCAGUGAGGAAUAUUGGUCAAUGGACGAGAGUCUGAACCAGCCAAGUAGCGUGAAGGAUGACGGCCCUACGGGUUGUAAACUUCUUUUAUAUGGGAAUAAGAUGUUCCACGUGUGGGAUUGCGUAUGUACCAUAUGAAUAAGGAUCGGCUAACUCCGUGCCAGCAGCCGCGGUAAUACGGAGGAUCCGAGCGUUAUCCGGAUUUAUUGGGUUUAAAGGGUGCGUAGGCGGCAUGUCAAACGCGCUGGUAAAUGUACGGGGUCAACCCUGGCCGUGCAGCGCAAACUGGCGUGCUAGAGUGCGCGGGAAGCAGGCGGAAUGCGUCGUGUAGCGGUGAAAUGCUUAGAUAUGACGAAGAACCCCGAUUGCGAAGGCAGCUUGCUGCAGCGGAACUGACGCUGAUGCUCGAAAGCGCGGGUAUCGAACAGGAUUAGAUACCCCUGUAGUC